CCGCACCUAGUAUGGUGGUAAUGACACUCGGCUUGUAAUCGAAUGGACUCGGGUUCAAAUUCCGAAUAUGGUAUGGA